rnacentral:misc_RNA from 1 species
GAUCCGUAGGCGAACCUGCGGAGGGAUCAUUACAGAGUUCAUGCCCUACCGGGUAGAUCUCCCACCCUAUGUUAUUAUUACUUUGUUGCUUUGGCGGGCCGUUAGGCUCCGGCCCGACUACCGGCCCCGGCUGGUAAGCGCCCGCCAGAGGACCCAAAACCCUGAAUAUUAGUGUCGUCUGAGUACUAUAUAAUAGUUAAAACUUUCAACAACGGAUCUCUUGGUUCUGGCAUCGAUGAAGAAGCAGC